UACGUAGGGGGCAAGCGUUGUCCGGAAUCAUUGGGCGUAAAGCGCGCGUAGGUGGCUUCGUAAGUCCGUUGUGAAAGUCAAAGGCUCAACCUUUGAAAGCCGAUGGAUACUGCGGAGCUAGAGUACGGAAGAGGCGAGUGGAAUUCCUGGUGUAGCGGUGGAAUGCGCAGAUAUCAGGAGGAACACCAAUAGCGAAGGCAGCUCGCUGGGACGUUACUGACACUGAGGCGCGAAAGCGUGGGGAGGCGAACAG
rnacentral:rRNA from 1 species